rnacentral:rRNA from 1 species
GACGAACGCUGGCGGCGUGCUUAACACAUGCAAGUCGAACGGAAAGGCCCUGCUUUUGUGGGGUGCUCGAGUGGCGAACGGGUGAGUAACACGUGAGUAACCUGCGCUUGACUGUGGGAUAACUUCUGGAAACUCGGGCUAAAACCGGGUAGGAGCUUCUGCUGCAUGGUGGUGGUUGGAGAGAUGCGGCGGAUGGGGCUGGACUGGCGGCUUAUCAGCGUGCUGGUGGGGUAUGGUCUGACCAAGGCUUUGACGGGUAGCCGACCUGAGAGGGUGAGCGGCGCCCUUGGGCCUGAGAGACGGCGCAGAAGCCAACCGGACGCAGUAGAGGGGAAUAUUGCGCAGUAGCCCGAAGCCAGUUGAAGAGACGCCGCGUGCGGGAUACUCGGUUUCGGGUUGUAAACAACUUUCGCCUGUGCUGAAGGGUGAGUGACGGUAAUGAGUAAGGAAGCAACGGCUAACUACGUG